rnacentral:rRNA from 1 species
UAUGCAGGCGGAUUGUUAAGUAGGAAGUGAAAGGUUGGAGCUCAACUCUAACACUGCUCCCUAUACUGGCAGUCUUGAGUGGCGGAGAGGAAGAUGGAACGACACGUGUAGCGGUGAAAUGCGUUGAUAUGUGUCGGAACACCAAUGGCGAAAGCAAUCUUCUGGACGCAAACUGACGCUGAGAUACGAAAGCCAAGGUAGCAAACA